UGCGUAGGUGGCAUAAUAAGUCAGAGGUGAAAGCCCGGCGCUUAACGUCGGAAUUGCCCCUGAUACUGUUAUGCUUGAAUAAGGUUGAGGUAGGCGGAAUGUGGCAUGUAGCGGUGAAAUGCAUAGAUAUGCCAUAGAACACCAAUUGCGAAGGCAGCUUACUGGACCUUUAUUGACACUGAGGCACGAAAGCGUGGGGAGCGAACAGGAUUAGAUACCCUGGUAGUCC
rnacentral:rRNA from 1 species